CAUAGGUUUGGUCCCAGCCUUUCUAUUAGUUGUUAGCAAAACUACACAUGCAAGUAUCCGCAUUACAGUGAGAAUGCCCUACAAAUCACAUACUGAUGUAAUAGGAGCAGGUAUCAAGCUCACUUAAAGUAGCUCAUAACACCUUGCUCAGCCACACCCCCACGGGAAACAGCAGUGACAAAAAUUAAGCAAUAAACGAAAGUUUGACUAAAUUAUGCUUACUAAGGGUUGGUUAAUUUCGUGCCAGCCACCGCGGUCAUACGAUUAACCCUAAUUAAUAGAGUUACGGCGUAAAACGUGUUUAAGGUACCUAAUAAACUAAAGUCAAACUCUAGCUAUGCUGUAAAAAGCUACAGCUACUGUAAGACCCAUAACGAAAGUAACUUUACUACCUAUCUGAACACACGAUAGCUAAGGCCCAAACUGGGAUUAGAUACCCCACUAUGCUCAGCCCUAAACCUAAAUAAUUAUAAUAACAAAAUUCUUUGCCAGAGUACUACUAGCUAAAGCUUAAAACUCAAAGGACUUGGCGGUGCUUUAUAUCCCUCUAGAGGAGCCUGUUCUAUAAUCGAUAAACCCCGAUAAACCUCACCAAUCCUUGCCAAUACAGCCUAUAUACCGCCAUCUCCAGCAAACCCUUAAAAGGAACCAUAGUAAGCUUAAUCACUACACAUAAAAACGUUAGGUCAAGGUGUAGCCUAUGGAUUGGAAAGAAAUGGGCUACAUUACCUAUCACUAGGUUAUCUAUCACUUCACGAAAGUCUCCGUGAAAUCGGAGCCCAAAGGUGGAUUUAGCAGUAAGCUAAGAAUAGAGUGCUUAACUGAAUAAGGCCAUGAAGCGCGCACACACCGCCCGUCACCCUCCUCAAAUAAUAAAUGAUAAAAUCCAAUCUUAUUAAUAAUUAUCAUAACUACUAGAGGAGACAAGUCGUAACAAGGUAAGCAUACUGGAAAGUGUGCUUGGAUAAUA
rnacentral:ncRNA from 1 species